rnacentral:misc_RNA from 1 species
UGGUUCUCGCAUCGAUGAAGAACGCAGCGAAAUGCGAUACGUAAUGUGAAUUGCAGAUGUUUGUGAAUCAUCGAAUCUUUGAACGCAUAUUGCGCUCUCUGGUAUUCCGGAGAGCAUGCCUGUUUGAGCGUCAUUAAAACUCUCUAACCAGGGUGUUAUGAACACCCUGGGAAGGACAUGGGCUACGCUGGGGCUUCCUCUGCCAGCCUGAAAGCAAUGGGGUGUAUGUUACCAAGCCCUCGACGUACUAGGUUUUACCAUCGUUGAGCCAGUGUGCUUCUUAGCAUUGCCCGACUUGUACAUUUUAAUUUUGACCUCAAAUCAGGUAGGACUACGCGCUGA